GUCUAGUAUAAGCAAUUAUACAGCGAAACUGCGAAUGGCUCAUUAUAUAAGUUAUCGUUUAUUUGAUAGUGCCUUACUACUUGGAUAACCGUGGUAAUUCUAGAGCUAAUACAUGCUAAAAACCCCGACUUCGGAAGGGGUGUAUUUAUUAGAUACAAAACCAAUGCCCUUCGGGGCUCUUUGGUGAUUCAUGAUAACUAUACGAAUCGCACGGCCUUGCGCCGGCGAUGGUUCAUUCAAAUUUCUUCCCUAUCAACUUUCGAUGUUUGGGUAUUGGCCAAACAUGGUUGCAACGGGUAACGGAGGGUUAGGGCUCGACCCCGGAGAAGGAGCCUGAGAAAUGGCUACUACAUCCAAGGAAGGCAGCAGGCGCGCAAAUUACCCAAUCCCGACUCGGGGAGGUAGUGACAAUAAAUACUGAUACAGGGCCCUUUCGGGCCUUGUAAUUGGAAUGAGUACAAUUUAAAUCCCUUAACGAGGAACAAUUGGAGGGCAAGUCUGGUGCCAGCAGCCGCGGUAAUUCCAGCUCCAAUAGCGUAUAUUAAAGUUGUUGUGGUUAAAAAGCUCGUAGUUGAACCUUGGGCCUGGCUGGCCGGUCCGCCUCACCACGUGCACUGGUCCGGCCGGGCCUUUCCCUCUGUGGAACCCCAUACCCUUCACUGGGCGUGGCGGGGAAACAGGACAUUUACUUUGAAAAAAUUAGAGUGCUCCAGGCAGGCCUAUGCUCGAAUACAUUAGCAUGGAAUAAUAAAAUAGGACGCGCGGUUCUAUUUUGUUGGUUUAUAGGACCGCCGUAAUGAUUAAUAGGGACAGUCGGGGGGCAUCAGUAUUCAACUGUCAGAAGUGAAAUUCUUGGAUCAG
rnacentral:rRNA from 1 species